AGCGCUCCCCCUGCACCUCACCGCCUCCCAGCAGGAUCUGGGGCUCUCCUUCUGCACCGGAACCGCUUCCCAGAGAGAUUCACUUAGAGAAGAGGGGCCCAAAGCUGGAGAUAUCGAGGGAACUAACUCCCAAUCCCACUCCUUACCUGUUUUUUCAGUCCUCUUUUGUCUUCAUUCAAAUCGGCUCGCCUUCUCGGAGCAAACCAGUUCGAAGAGAAGAUUCGACUUGUGAUAAGAGCCCGGUUUGGGGAGCUACUUGGUACCUCCUCACCCCACCAUGGAAAGUGCCUAGAGCAUCCUUUCCUGGUUCCAGCUGACCUUCUGGAGCUUUGGGACCUGCUUCUAGCCACCUGGGGCCAAGAGAUGAAAAAUCUGGUGUUUUAGAAUGAGACCCUGAGAUGCCUCCUAGUCACCCCCCACCCUGUGACAAUAGCAAGUGAAGUAUAUAUUUUUAAAGCUCUGCUUUCAUGGCUCUAAUUUUCUAUGCUCUGUGGCAAGUAAAUCCCUCUCUACUUUGACUCUUCUCUUAAAGUGAAUGGGGAAAUAGCUGGGGUGGAGGGUAGAGGUGGUAGAGGUGCUUUUCCCCAGCUCUGUGUCUUACCCCACAUGGGAUGUGGAUCCAGCCAGCUGAGUUUGUCCUUACAUCCAUUCUCCUAGAUUUUCCUGCUUUGUGUUGCUUUCCUGAGGAGGUGACAGAGCAUCAGAUUCGAGAUGGAUGUGUCCAAGAUUUCAGGGGGAAACUGGACCCUUAAGUGGGCAUACAUGGCAUCUGGAGCACUUUGCAAUUAAACAGAGGUCCCUAAGGUUUUUUUGAGCCCCCACUGCAGCGCCUAUGAUCCAUAUCUGGUCCUUGCUUCCUUCUGCAGGUAAGACCAAAGGCCCCAAAAGAUACCCUAAGAGGAUCCUGGACUUUCCAGCUCCCAUCUUUAAGGGGAACCACAUUGCAUCCCCCUCUCAGCAGCAGAAAACCAAGGAGUGGAAGAGUGGGAUGCUGUGUGAGCAGCAAAAAUGAGCGUGGUGAUGCAGUGGAAUCCUCUAACCACUCCCAGUAUCAAUGACUAGACUAUCCCAGGCCACCAUGUCCAUGACACUUACAGGCGUGAUGAGGAGGACAAGCCUGAGUAGGCAUGGACAGUGAGGAAGAUGGGAGCCAGUGCCUUGAGAUUCUGUGCUUUUACUGGCUAGCAAAUAUUGGACAUGAGAACGUAGAAAAAUAUACACCACUCUCUGCUUAUCACAUUUCGGUCCUUUAGAGGAGGGCACCUGAGGUAUCGUCAUGGUUGACAGAUGAUGUUAAGGAGGACGCAGGAGGGAACAUCACACAUUUGCACAGGGAUCUUUGCAAUAAGGGAACAUCUUUAUAAUUAGGGAAAAUUCCCCAAAUCCUUUGCAGACCCCUUUUCUCUUUUUGUGCUCUGAAGUUCACCUUAUGACACAGAGACCCUUAAAACACAUCUUCACCUGAAAGAAUAUCUGCCACCUCAAUGCCUCUUUUCCAGGUUUUUAGCCCAGAACACCCCAAAAAACCCAGAGAGGAACAUUCUGAGAAAAGGUAGAGAGUUUCCUGGCCCGGGAGGAGGUAAUCAGUGCCCCAGACUCUCAAUAAAUGGAGCAACCUUAAUCCCUGCAAUGGCUAUUCCAUCACCUUUGGCCAUUCCACUGCCUUGGCCACACUGGCUGUUUCAUCCUUGAACUAACACUUUCAUGCCUUCAGAUGGAUGGAGUCUGAGCUGCCAAUUCUUUGGGCCAAAACCUGCGUUUGCUCUUCCACAACAAAUUCACUUUUACUCUCCCACAACACCAUCAUCCUCCAUGUGAGGGAACUGAGGGAACUGGAGUAGAAAGUAGUAGUGGAACUCCAGCGAACUGCACUGAUUCUACCUCAUGACUCACUUCUAGAGCACGCUCAUUUCCCUUUCUAUUUCCUUACAGGAUUAUUCCAGUUUCUGUCUUGUGAGAAGAUUUCCUUUAGUUGUGGGAAUUGGGGGAAAAACCCUUAUUGUAUUCUUUGAAUCUAGUGCUGAGUGUGUGAGAAGCUGGACCACCUCUACCUGUUGUUUGGACAUCCUUAACUAAGGACCUAAAUUCAGCCAGAGCCAAAGACGGGGGCAAGGAAGUUUCUCACAAUUAGGCAUCUUAAGCAAUGCAUAUGUCUAUAAGCAGGUUCCAUACUGAUUAAUUAAAAAUAAUAUUUUAAUUAAUUAUUUUUAA